rnacentral:rRNA from 1 species
AAAUUGAAGAGUUUGAUCAUGGCUCAGAUUGAACGCUGGCGGCAGGCCUAACACAUGCAAGUCGAACGGUAACAGGAAGAAGCUUGCUUCUUUGCUGACGAGUGGCGGACGGGUGAGUAAUGUCUGGGAAACUGCCUGAUG